UACGUCCACAUCACAUUGAAACACCGUUUCCAGUACGUUGACCGAAGUUAAGCAAUAUCGAGCCUGUUCAGUACAUAGAUGAAUGACCGCUUGGGAAUACCAGGUGCUGUAA